rnacentral:misc_RNA from 1 species
AUCGUCAUGUCCAUGAGUUCCUAAUGAAAAAAUCAUCCUUCUUCGAGGAGUGGCUUAAGUUGGUCUGCAUGUCUCUUGAGAAAUCACCUAACCAGUUUGAGGCUGAAUACUACUCUUCUGUAAACCACAAGAAAGAUGUAAUAUUCAGAGCGGUUAGGUCACUUAUUGAGGUGUAUGAAGUGCAUGAUCUUCACGCUGUUGUACAAAGGUUUCACAAACUGUCCAACAUCCUAUAACAGGGUUUCCAGGUUUCCAGUUUUUGGUUCCUACUUUUUCUUGGUUGGUCUGGUGUGGAUUUUCUCCAGCUGCUGCUUCUUGAACUGGUUAGCCCUGUCCCAGUCAAGGCUGUACCUUAGCUCUGCAAUUUCA